ACGCUGAUGUAAACUUACUUUGAUUUCUUUCUUAAUAGAUGACAUUCGUUUAAACAUCCAAACUCUUCUACCAAGUUUAACAUCAUCUGAAUAAAGAAUUAAAGAAAACACAGUUUAUAUAUGGAGAGUAGUUUGAAACCGGUCAUUCCAAGGGAAAUCAAUACA